rnacentral:lncRNA from 1 species
AUAAGUGCGGUAUUCUGGCCCACUCCGCAGGGUAUAAGUGCGGUAUUCUGGCCCACUCCGCAGGGUAUAAGUGCGGUUCAGUUUCUGGCCUAGCCACAGGGUAUAAGUGUGGUCGUAGCUAAAGGCUGAUGAGAUGAAUGUGAUUUGUUUCGAAUCAGAUUUAUGAUUAUGUAUAUAGAUAUUUUGAAAAAUACGAAUUUUAAUGAAUUUGUGCUUGAAAAGGAAUUGAUUAUGUUAUUACGUUGAUUCAUCGUAAUUUGUAUUUAUAUUUUAUGUUAUUAUAUGAAUUGACUAGUUAAGGUGUUUAUUACUUACUGGGUUAUCUAGCUUAUUAUACAAUUUCUUGUUGUUUUUAUAGAUUCCGAGAACUAACCUAUCGGGGAUUUAAAAUGGAAGAGCGACUAGAAGAACUGAAGACAAGUUAUCCUAAAUUAGGCUUUAUUUAAAUUGAUGUUUUAUCUUUAUUGUUCCGCUGCGUAUUUAGAACUAUGAGACUAUAUAAUUUGGGUCAGUCAAUGGAGUAAGAUUGCAUUUAUGUCAGCUGAAUUAUUUUAGAUAUAUAUAUAUAUAGUUAAGAUGUUUAGUUUAGAUGCCUUGCAUGCUCAUAGGGAGAGUUUUCUACGGAUGUGCGGCGGUUGGCGCGGUGCGGCGGUUGGCGCGGACCCCCGGCUCGCGAUCUCGAGCCGGGGGCGUGACAACUUAAGUGGUAUCAGAGCAUAAUUGGAUAAAUUAUGAGAUAAGAAAAUCUGACAUGACAUGAGUGUAGAUGGGUAGACACUAGGGACAUUGGGACGUUAGUUUAUGAUGAUUGUAGCAACCAUUUUAUGUACUUGUAAUGAACUGGUAAGCUUAUUAUUGGCAUGCUGCUAUCUGAUAGACAUAGGUCAGGAUGCCUCCACAUUGGAUGAGAAAGACUACUCGCAGAGCUACUAAUAAGGCACCUAACCCGCAAAAUGACACUACACCCCAACAAGUUGGUAGCACCCCUCAACAGGAGAGAGUCGUCAAUCCUGCUAGUGAUACUUAGACAGGAUAACAAGAACCGGGCCUAGGCCAGGUUAUGCAGACCAUAGUGGGCCUUAUGCAAAUGCAACAGCAGGUGCAACAGCAGUUGCUCCAACAACGAGCGCAGUUGCCUUAGACACAACCACAGCAAGGACGAGGGGAACAGUGUGAACAGCAUAGCAGUAUAGCUGAAUUUAAGAGGCUGGCUCAUCCCGCUUUCAAGGGGACUACAGAACCGUUGGAAGCAGACAAUUGGCUUACAGAGAUGGAAAAAGCAUUUGCUGUCUUGAGAUGCCAGGAUGAUAAAAAGAUUUUGUUUGCAUCAUACAUAAUGCAAGGUGAGGCAUUCAACUGGUGGCGGAUGUUGGAACAUAAAUAUGAGCAGGAUAGGGAACCACUCACUUGGAAAAAAUUUUGAGGAGCAUUUUAUGAUAAGUAUUUUUCUCAAAGUGUAAGGACGCAAAAAGAGCAGAAGUUUAUUCAUCUAAAACAAAGGAAUAUGACUGUUGCAGAAUAUGAAGCUAAAUUUACCGAGCUAACCAAAUUUGUUCCAAAGUUAGUCGAGGAUGAGCUAGAUCGAGCACAUAAAUUUGAGAUGGGACUAAAAACUGAAAUUAAAAAACAAGUGGUACCUUAUGAAUUGACUACCUAUGCAGUUGUGGUAAAUAAGGCUUUGAUAAUUGAAAGGGAAGUUAAUGAUGAACGGUUGGAAAGGGAAAAAAAUCAAAAGAAGAGAAACAGGUCAAAUGAAUUUUAGGGGCAGAGCAAUGAAAAUGCCGAAAGUUAAAACAAGAAAUCUACGAGUAACAACCCUAAGCAGAUGAAUAGCAAUAAAUGUUCCAGAUGUGGUAAGGCUCAUGCUGAUAAGGAUUGCCAUUAGAACACUGGUGCCUGUUUUAGAUGUGGUAAGAUAGGUCAUAAAAUUGCGGACUGCCCACAAAGAAACGAGAAUAGAUCUACUCAGGCAAUGGAAGGAAGCCAGGAGCCAAAGACUCAAGGAAGAGUAUUUGCACUUACACAGCAAGAUGCACAGGCUUCUGAGGGGUUGACGACAGGUAUUAAUCUAGUCCUAAUAUUUAUUCCUAUUUAUUGUUUAGCCAUACCCACUACUCUUUGUUAGACAACUCAUUAUGCUGCUAGAAAGGAUUAAAUAGUUACAUAAUGUUUUUUGAUUAAUUGUCAAAAGAAGAAUAUGAACUUUUAAAUUUCGAAAGUGUUCACACGGAUGAAGACAUAAUAAUGAAUGUACCAAUAAGCAAGUAAUUCUAGAAAAAAAAAAUCUAGACACGAGUAUGUUGAGGUUUAAAUCAGUGUGUGCAGAGAAAGUGUGGUGAAUGGAAUUAUUUAAUAUUGGUCAGACAAAACGACUUUGAUUUGAAGAGUGUUAUGACUUAGUUUGGAAGAAGUAUUCUCUACUCGUGAAAAUUUCGUGGACGAAAUUUUUUUAAGAGGGGAAGGAUGUGAGACCCUGAAACUGGGCCCGGUCCAUUGACCGGCCCAGCCCAAAUUUCGGCCUCACGUGCGUCGCACGUGAGGGCGCGAGAUGAAGGAAGAAAUCAUCCCGAAGAAGCCGGGAUCGCCUGGUUUUCUAGGGCUUCUUCCUCCCCUUGAAGCCAUCCGAAGCAAAGCCGCCGCGUUGGGGGUCUUCUUCCUUGGGCUGCUGGCCGAGAGAGAGGGAGAGAGAGCCAUUAAAAACCGGGAGGCACGGGUGGUCUUCCUCUUCUUCCAUUGCCGCCGGAGAGGAAGAGAAUCGCCGGUCUUCGUCGGAGGCUAAGGUAAGGGUUUCUAACUUUCUUCUCUUCCUUCUGUGAUAUUUAGCCAUGAUUUGUCAUGGUUUUGGAGCCGGCCAUCGUCGUAAUUUUUACCCAAAAACAGAAGAGCCCUGUUCGGGCAUGUCCUCUCGCCGCCGGCCUUGUGCGCCGCUGCCAGCCGCUGGGGGUGGUCGCACUUGCUUCGCCACCCCUUGCCGCCAACGGGGUUGGCCACCAUGGACGCCCCUGAGUCCGACGGAGAAGGAAGGAAAUGGGGGGUAUGGGUCCCCUGUUCCGCCAAAGAAAAGAGAGGAGAAGAGAAGAAGAAAAAAAGAAAGAAAGAAAGGAGAGGAAGCUUCGGGAGAAGAAGAGAAGAAAAGAAAAGAAAAAGAAAAGAAAAAAAGAAAAGAGAAGGAAAGAAAAGAAAAGAAAAGAAAAAGAAAAUAAAAGAAAAGAAAAGAAAAAAAAGAAAAGAAAGAAAGAAAGAAAAUAAUAAUAAUAAUAAUAAAAUAAAGGGAAGAGGGUGGUCUACGGGUAUGAACCCGAAACCGGGGUGCUAGACAUCUUGGCAGGGUCAGCCCUGGGAGAAUGUUAAAAUUUAAGUUUUAUAUAUAUUGUGAUGAAUAUUAAAAGAAGAAUAUGAUUUUUGGAUAUUAGGUUCUGCGAGGGAUUUGUGAGAUUAAUUGGAUUUAUUGUGAAUCGCGUUCGAUGUAAGUAAUGAACUGCCUUUUGUAGACUCUUUAUUUAUAUAAUAUUAUUUUUGCAUCGAAUAAAUUAUUAAGUGAAUUUAUAUGUGAUUUAUGAAUUUUAUGAGAUGAUGAUUUGAAUAAAAAAUAUAUAUGUGAAUUGAAAUAAUAUUUUUCAGACUAUUGUUAUAUUUACUGUUAUUACAUCAUAUAUGCAUAUUUAGAUCGUAUUAUGAUAUAUUUAUUUUAUUACAAAAAGAAUUUUGAUGUGCAUUAGAUUUGGAACUCUCAGCCUGACUAUGUUCUGGACCCUGCCAAUUAGGGGUUAUGCAUUGGCAAUUCUGGCCCCACCACAGGGUAUAAGUGUGGUAUUCUGGCCCACUCCGCAGGAUAUAAGUACGGUAUUCUGGCCCACUCCGCAGGGUAUAAGUGCGAUUCAGUUUCUGGCCUAGCCACAGAGUAUAAGUGUGGUCGUAGCUAAAGGCUGAUGAGAUGAAUGUGAUUUAUUUUGAAUCAGAUUUAUGAUUAUGUAUAUAGAUAUUUUGAAAAAUACGAAUUUUAAUGAAUUUGUGCUUGAAAAGGAAUUGAUUAUGUUAUUACGUUGAUUCAUCUUAAUUUGUAUUUAUAUUUUAUGUUAUUAUAUGAAUUGACUAGUUAAGGUGUUUAUUACUU